rnacentral:tRNA from 2 species
UCGGGAUAGCUCAGCUGGUAGAGCAGAGGACUGAAAAUCCUCCGUGUCCC